CCCUUAGAUGUCCUGGGCCGCACGCGCGUUACACUGAUGCAUUCAACGAGCUUAUAACCUUGGCCGAGAGGCCUGGGCAAUCUUGUUAACGUGCAUCGUGAUAGGGAUAGAUUAUUGAAAUUAUUAAUCUUGAACGAGGAAUUCCUAGUAAACGCAGAUCAUCAAUCUGCAUUGAUUACGUCCCUGCCCUUUGUACACACCGCCCGUCGCACCUACCGAUUGAACGUUCCGGUGAGACCUUGGGAUUUGGUCUUUGGUACUUUAUUGUGCCGUUGACCGAAAAACUUGAGCAAACCUUAACGUUUAGAGGAAGGUGAAGUCGUAACA
rnacentral:rRNA from 1 species